rnacentral:lncRNA from 1 species
CAAGGACGCAGAAGCUUGAAGAGGAAGCUUGCACCUUACUACGACAAUAUUCACCGACCUCGUGAGGUCCCUUUAAGCCUGGAGGAGGAGUCUGAGUCCAGUUCGAGAACCCUUGUGGAAUCACAGUCUCGAGAGGGAGACCGUGAAGAGAGAAUUGCUACCAAUCCCAUCCUGGAAGCCAUUGAGGAGACGCUUACAGAGCACUCUGAAGAAGAAGAAGAAGCUCGGCCCAAUCUUGACCAAGAAGCAAUGGCGGAGCAGAAUGUCCAGUACAUGGGAGAUUUUUCC